rnacentral:rRNA from 1 species
CAGGUAAGACCCCUUGAAGACUACAAGGUAGAUAGGCUCAGAGUGUAAGUGUGGUGACACAUUCAGCUCGGGAGUACUAAUCGGUCGAGGGCUUGACCAG